rnacentral:rRNA from 1 species
AACGUAGGAGACAAACGUUAUCCGGAGUUACUGGGCGUAAAGGGCGUGUAGGCGGUUAGUUAAGUCUGGCGUGAAAGCUCUCGGCUAAACCGGGAGAGGUCGUCAGAUACUGGCAAACUAGAGGACGGUAGAGGCGUGUGGAAUUCCGGGUGUAGUGGUGAAAUGCGUAGAGAUCCGGAGGAACACCAGUGGCGAAGGCGGCUCACUGGUCCGGUACUGACGCUGAGGUGCGAAAGCGUGGGGAGCAAACAGG